CGCGGCCUAUCAGCUUGUUGGUGAGGUAAUGGCUCACCAAGGCGUCGACGGGUAGCCGGCCUGAGAGGGUGACCGGCCACACUGGGACUGAGACACGGCCCAGACUCCUACGGGAGGCAGCAGUGGGGAAUAUUGCACAAUGGGCGAAAGCCUGAUGCAGCAACGCCGCGUGAGGGAUGACGGCCUUCGGGUUGUAAACCUCUUUUAGCAGGGAAGAAGCGAAAGUGACGGUACCUGCAGAAAAAGCGCCGGCUAACUGCGUGCCAGCAGCCGCGGUAAUACGUAGGGCGCAAGCGUUGUCCGGAAUUAUUGGGCGUAAAGAGCUCGUAGGCGGCUUGUCACGUCGGAUGUGAAAGCCCGAGGCUUAACCUCGGGUCUGCAUUCGAUACGGGCUAGCUAGAGUGUGGUAGGGGAGAUCGGAAUUCCUGGUGUAGCGGUGAAAUGCGCAGAUAUCAGGAGGAACACCGGUGGCGAAGGCGGAUCUCUGGGCCAUUACUGACGCUGAGGAGCGAAAGCGUGGGGAGCGAACAGGAUUAGAUACCCUGGUAGUCCACGCCGUAAACGUUGGGAACUAGGUGUUGGCGACAUUCCACGUCGUCGGUGCCGCAGCUAACGCAUUAAGCUCCCCGCCUGGGGAGUACGG
rnacentral:rRNA from 1 species